GGGGAUGUUUAUGGAUUCGACAGGUAUAGGUUGAGUUUUGACUGCGCUCCGAAGGUUGCGUCUUCGUUAAAACGCUCAGUUUAUUAUAACUGCAAAAAAUAAUAACAAUUCUUACGCUUUAGCUGCUUAAUAACAGCUUAACGUAGAUCCGUCCGAGUUUGUUCACGGUUCGAUCGCGGGUCCUAAAUUUAGUGAACUUACGCUAGUAGCUUCCGUCUGGAGUAGCUAGAAGAGACUAAUCAGGCUAGCCAAUUAACAAAGCCCUGAUCAGCGGCGUUUUAGUUGGUGAAAUUUAAAUAGUUGAGAUAUGAGCGUAGAGGUUGGGAUGGCGAUAUGCUUGGACAGGGGUUCGACUCCCCUCAUCUCCAUAA
rnacentral:tmRNA from 1 species